CCUCUUUCCAGUGCAGCUUAACUCUGAGUGUGCUGAAGCUUGAAAUGUAGCUUCCGAUUUAUAAUAGCAACAGGGCAUGCAGCAAAUGUCAACAAAUCCCCUGUCACCCAGGCAAGAAGGAAAUGUGAGAGCACAAGGAUUUAAAGUUGUUGCUGACUUUGUAUUCUGCUGUACCACAACACUUUGUAGAGGAAAAGGAAAGCAAAUGUGCAGAGUUGCCAGGAUACGGAUUUAUUCAGAACUUCAGCAGCCUGGCACUUCUACUGUGAAGUUCCUUCCCCCUUGCCUCACUCCCUCAUGCUCCAGCAGCAGGCAGAUAGACAAGAAAUAG
rnacentral:lncRNA from 1 species